AACGAACGCUGGCGGCAUGCCUAACACAUGCAAGUCGAACGAGACCUUCGGGUCUAGUGGCGCACGUGUGCUUAACGCGUGGUAACCUGCCCUUAGGUUCGGUAUAACUCCCCGAAAGGGGUGCUAAUACCGGAUAAUGUCUUCGGACCAAAGAUUUCUCGCCUUUGGAUGGGCCCGCGUUGGAUUAGCUAGUUGGUAGGGUAAAAGCCUACCAAGGCGACGAUCCAUAGCUGGUCUGAGAGGAUGAUCAGCCACACUGGGAAUGAGACACGGCCCAGAAUGGGACGGGAGGGAGCAGAGGGGAAUAUUAGAGAAUGGGCGAAAGCCUGAUCAAGCAAUGUGGGGUGAGAGAGGAAGGGCGUAGGGUUGUAAAGCUGUUUUACACGGGAUGAGAAUGACAGUACCGGGAGAAUAAGCACCGGCUAACUACGUG
rnacentral:rRNA from 1 species